AGUGAACGCUGGCGGUAGGCCUAACACAUGCAAGUCGAACGGCAGCACAGUAAGAGCUUGCUCUUACGGGUGGCGAGUGGCGGACGGGUGAGGAAUACAUCGGAAUCUACUUUUUCGUGGGGGAUAACGUAGGGAAACUUACGCUAAUACCGCAUACGACCUACGGGUGAAAGCAGGGGAUCUUCGGACCUUGCGCGAUUGAAUGAGCCGAUGUCGGACUAGCUAGUUGGCGGGGUAAAGGCCCACCAAGGCGACGAUCCGUAGCUGGUCUGAGAGGAUGAUCAGCUACACUGGAACUGAGACACGGUCCAGACUCCUACGGGAGGCAGCAGUGGGGAAUAUUGGACAAUGGGCGCAAGCCUGAUCCAGCCAUACCGCGUGGGUGAAGAAGGCCUUCGGGUUGUAAAGCCCUUUUGUUGGGAAAGAAAAGCAGCAGGUUAAUACCCCGCUGUUCUGACGGUACCCAAAGAAUAAGCACCGGCUAACUUCGUG
rnacentral:rRNA from 1 species